rnacentral:rRNA from 1 species
CCUACGGGAGGCAGCAGUGGGGAAUAUUGCACAAUGGGGGAAACCCUGAUGCAGCGACGCCGCGUGAGUGAAGAAGUGAUUCGUUGUGUAAAGCCCUAUCAGCAGGGAAGAAAAUGACGGUACCUGACUAAGAAGCCCCGGCUAACUACGUGCCAGCAGCCGCGGUAAUACGUAGGGGGCAAGCGUUAUCCGGAUUUACUGGGUGUAAAGGGAGCGUAGACGGCAGUGCAAGUCUGGAGUGAAAGGCGGGGGCCCAACCCCGGGACUGCUCUGGAAACUGUACGGCUGGAGUGCAGGAGAGGUAAGUGGAAUUCCUAGUGGAGCGGUGAAAUGCGUAGAUAUUAGGAGGAACACCAGUGGCGAAGGCGGCUUACUGGACUGUAACUGACGUUGAGGCUCGAAAGCGUGGGGAGCAAACAGGAUUAGAUACCCGGGUAGUC